UCUCCACCUACAGACAAAUAUUGAGUCAGAGUCUGCAAGUUAAACAAAUACUAUAAAGAGCUUCUGCUCCUCUUGUUGCAUUGCUGCUGCUCCAGCUCACUGACUCUGUGUUUCAAAUCAUCAACCCUGGCCAGGAUCCUGUUCCUCUCCUCCUCCAGACUCCUCUCUCUGGAUUUCCUCGUCGUUCUCUCUCACCCUCUGGUUUCGGCCGUCUCCCAGGAGAGCCAUCCCACCUCCCGAGUCCGAACAAAGUCCUCUACC